GACGAACGCUGGCGGCGUGCUUAACACAUGCAAGUCGAACGGAAAGGCCCGGCUUUGGGGGGGUGCUCGAGGGGCGAACGGGGGAGUAACACGUGAGUAACCUGCCCUUGACUGUGGGAGAACUUCAGGAAAGUGGGGCUAAUACGGGAUAGGAGCUCCUGCUGCAGGGUGGGGGUUGGAAAGUUUCGGCGGUUGGGGAUGGACUCGCGGCUUAUCAGCUUGAUGGUGUGGUAGUGGCUUAGCAAGGCUUUGACGGGUAGCAGGCCUGAGCGGGUGACAGGCCCAGCCGCGACGGAGCUACGACACAGCCCCGUCCGGUAGGCAACAGUGCGGAAGAGUGCACAGUGGGCGGAACCCUGAUCCAGCCCCGCCGCGUGCCGGAUGACGGCCUUCGGUUAGUAUUCCACUUUCGCCUGUGCCGAAAUGUGAGUGACGGUACUGGGUAAAGAAGCACCGGCUAACUACGUG
rnacentral:rRNA from 1 species